CCUGCGGGUGAGAACAAGUGGGUCUCUGACUCUUGUGCCUUCUCUUGGGCUCUUUUCCUUCUGUUUGUUUUGUUUAAUUCUUUUGUGUUGUUUUUUUAAAUCUUGCUAUACUUUAUUAUCUGCUAUAAGCCUGUUGUUUUUCUAAUGAGAGAAAGGAAGUGGAUCUGGGUGGGAGGGAAUGUCAGGAGGAACUAGGGGGAGUAGACGGAAGGGAAACUGUAAUCAGGAUAUGGUAUGUGAGAACAAAAUUUAUUUUCAGUAAAAGGAGAAAAAAAGAGUUGUAUGUGUGUGUUCUCCUUGGAUCCACCCACAGAAAGCACUCAAGACAGAAAGUGACUAAAACAUUAGUUUAUAGUGAAAACUGGAAAGUGAUCCAAAGCCCCGUUACAGACGUUGACAGCUACAACACAGAUGCACAUUCAGUGCCUAAAGAACCUAGGGAAGACCCUCGGGUCACGUCAGCAUAGUAUAGGGUUUCUCCUUCAGGGGAUUCAAAUACUGGGCUCUCCUCAGAUACAUCUUUUAGAAAGAAGCAUAAGUCCAGCCUGUCUUAGCUGCACCCAGCCCACCACACAGAUUCUGUUCAAGUCACAGGACAGGACAGUAGGGGGUACUGUAGG
rnacentral:lncRNA from 1 species